GGGGAGCAUCACAGAGAUGAGAUGUUUACUUGAUCCAAUCUUCCUACAUAAAUCUCUGUUUUUUCCUGCUUGUAAAAAUUGAGCAAGUUUAUGCGAGUCUCAUAUCUCCAGAUACAUGA